AUAACAUAUAUACAGAGGUCCUAGGUUAGACCCAUACAGGCUCCCUGACUUCAGCUCAGUCUCAACGAGCCCCUACAGGUUCAGGAGCUCCGGAUCCAGAACUGCUCCAGGUUAACCUCGGACUCCUCUCAAUGCUGGACCCCGCGGCUUCUGGAGAAAGUCUUCCCGCAGCAAGGUCCAGGCCCUUGUGGGUAAAAAGAGAUACAAGGAUCCUGACCAGCUCUGAUGUGAGAUGCCUCUAAUCACGUGUUCCUGAAACGCCAUUUGAUUGUGCCUUCUCAGGCCACAGACUGAGACCCUCUGAAAUGGACCCAAACAAACAGUUCUUCCUUGUUUUAUUAGAUACUUUAGUCACAGUCGUGCACCUUGUAAUAAAGAAUCUGAGCUAUUGUUGGAA